rnacentral:rRNA from 1 species
AGCGAACGCUGGCGGCAGGCCUAACACAUGCAAGUCGAACGGACCCUUCGGGGUUAGUGGCGGACGGGUGAGUAACACGUGGGAACGUACCUUUAGGUUCGGAAUAGCUCCUGGAAACGGGUGGUAAUGCCGAAUGUGCCCUUCGGGGGAAAGAGUUAUCGCCUUUAGAGCGGCCCGCGUCUGAUUAGUUUGGUGGUGAGGUAAUGUCUCCCCAAGGCGACGAUCAGUAGUUGGUCUGAGAGGAUGACCAGCCACAUUGGGGCUGAGACACGGCCGAAACUCCUACGGGAGGCAGCAGUGGGUGAUCUUGCGCAAUGGGCGAAAGCCUGACGCAGCCAUGCCGCGUGAAUUAUGAAGGUCUUAGGAUUGUAAAAUUCUUUCACCGGGAACGAUAAUGACGGUACCCGGAGAAGAAGCCCCGGCUAACUUCGUGCCAGCCGCCGCCGUAA